rnacentral:rRNA from 1 species
CGCGCGAGAUAAAAAACCGCCGGAUGCGGUAUAAAGCCACACCCGGGUGAUGCGUCACUCUUCCCGUCUUUCUCUACCGACAAGCGUAAACCAGAAGAAGAGGGAGAGAGGACUUCUACUCGCGGCGCAGCGGCGGGUUGGGAGAGGGAGGAGGGAAGGGUCUAGACGCCGGGUUGUGCGGGGCGGAGGAGAGGGGGGACAACUACCUGUGACCUGGAAGGCAGCAGAAUGGGACAGGUUCUGGUUUGAGCAGAAGAGUAGACUUCGGCUAGAUCUAGAACGAAAGACUGGCCAAGGGUCCGCCCGCAGGGAGACGAAGGACAGGAACGUGAAACUGCCCAUGGGUCCACGCACAGGGACAAGAAAACGAGGCUGCCGGUCGACGGGUCUUCAAGGGGACGAAGGAGAAGCUAACCGUCGGUUUGCCGUGUAUUGACGCUCGUACCAUCGCACACUUCCAUGUUCUGCCAGAAACGUUCUGUAGUCCGAGACGAGGUCGAUAACUAUAGGUAAAAGUCGUGAACUUGGGCGAACCUAGUGCCGUUCUGUCUAUCUUCGUCCUACUUCUCGUUAUUGUACUAUACGUACAGCACCACCUUUUUAUACCCUUGUAUAAGAAUGCCCACCAGUACCAGACGACCAACUACCCGUGUUUGUUCAUUAACUCCGAGAGCGAGUUCCAGAAUUAGUCUCAACAUCUAUAACAUCUAUGAACCGGACUGGUUGAGUUCCAGAACUGUGGGGAGAAUUAGUCUCCACAUUUAUAAAACGGAAUGAUCUCAUCGUCUAUUAACAGGACUGGUUGUUGUGUACAUGUACGACUGAAUCCACAAGACGAUCGACAUGCUUUGUAAUCGAUACAAAUGAACUUAAGACCGAACUUUAACUGGUACUCAGACAUUAACUUGUUCUUAGACUACACAUGUAACUUAAAAUCGUCGUUAAAUAUUAAAACUUAAUACCG